rnacentral:rRNA from 1 species
UGGAUGAUGUGGUUUAAUUCGAUGCAACGCGAAAAACCUUACCCACCUUUGACAUGUAGGAACCCUUUAGAGAUAGAGGGUGCUCGAAAGAGAGCCGUAACACAGGUGCUGCAUGGCUGUCGUCAGCUCGUGUCGUGAGAUGUUGGGUUAAGUCCCGCAACGAGCGCAACCCUUGUCAUUAGUUGCUACAUUCAGUUGGGCACUCUAAUGAGACUGCCGGUGACAAGCCGGAGGAAGGUGGGGAUGACGUCAAGUCCUCAUGGCCCUUAUAGGUGGGGCUACACACGUCAUACAAUGGCUGGUACAAAGGGUUGCCAACCCGCGAGGGGGAGCCAAUCCCAUAAAGCCAGUCGUAGUCCGGAUCGUAGUCUGCAACUCGACUACGUGAAGUCGGAAUCGCUAGUAAUCGCGGAUCAGCACGCCGCGGUCGAAUACGUUCCGGGCCUU